rnacentral:rRNA from 1 species
CUUGACUGUAUCUUGGAAUUGGGUUCGGGCUUUUCUUGCGCAGACUAGGUGGGAGGCUACGAAGAUUUCCUUCCGGGGAAGUUGGAGCCAACAGUGAGAGACCACUCUGGAAAGGCUAGAAUCCUAAUGGUGAUCCCUGAAUCGGGACACUUGACAGUUUCAGGUGGGCAGUUUGUUUGGGGCGAACGCCUCAUAAAAGGUAACUGAGGCGCGCAAAGGUCCCCUCAGUCUGGACGGAAAUCAGACAUUGAGUGUAAAGGCAAAAGGGGGCUUGACUGCAAGACCUACAAGUCGAGCAGGAGCGAAAGCUGGCCUUAGUGAUCCGACGGUGCCGUGUGGAAGGGCCGUCGCUCAACGAAUAAAAGUUA